GAUCCUGGGCUCAGGAUGAACGCUAGCUACAGGCUUAACACAUGCAAGUCGAGGGGCAUCGGGAAGAAAGCUUGCUUUCUUUGCCGGCGACCGGCGCACGGGUGAGUAACACGUAUCCAACCUGCCCUUUACUCGGGGAUAGCCUUUCGAAAGAAAGAUUAAUACCCGAUGGCAUAAUGAUUCCGCAUGGUUUCAUUAUUAAAGGAUUCCGGUAAAGGAUGGGGAUGCGUUCCAUUAGGUUGUUGGUGAGGUAACGG
rnacentral:rRNA from 1 species